rnacentral:rRNA from 1 species
GAUCCUGGCUCAGAUUGAACGCUGGCGGCAGGCCUAACACAUGCAAGUCGAACGGUAACAGGAAGCAGCUUGCUGCUUCGCUGACGAGUGGCGGACGGGUGAGUAAUGUCUGGGAAACUGCCUGAUGGAGGGGGAUAACUACUGGAAACGGUAGCUAAUACCGCAUAACGUCGCAAGACCAAAGAGGGGGGACCUUCGGGUCCGUCGUUGCCACUCGGAUGUGCCCAGAUGGGAGUUAGCUAG